rnacentral:tRNA from 1 species
GGGCCCUUAGCUCAUCUGGUAGAGCGCCUGCUUUGCAAGCAGGAGGUAGCCGGUUCGAGUCCGGCAGGGUCCACCA